CAUGACACUGUCAAAUGGUUUGUGAAAGAUGGAUGACAUCAAUGAACUGGUAUUGUUUUCUUGGAGAAAACUAAAACAAGGCAGAUAUGUGGGCCUCUGAGACCCCCGAGCAUCACAAGGGGGCCUUAUCUUCACAACAGAUGAGAAACUCAACUUAGACCCAACGUCAAAGCCGGAGGGAGAGACACUACAGAUGCAUGUCUGACUGACCAACAGAGCCAGUAGCAGCAGUCCAACAUGUGGCUGCAGCACAUCCACAUCCACAUCCCAAACAGAUAUAAUAUUUGACUAAAACAAUCAUUUCAAACCUUGCUUAUAUUUGUAUACGAUCUUGUGCAUCUCUCUAUUAUGCGUGGGAAUACAUGGGAACAGAUUUCUUAAAUUAAAAUAACUUGGAGCUGA